rnacentral:rRNA from 1 species
AUUAUACCGCGAAACUGCGAAUGGCUCAUUAAAUCAGUUAUCGUCUAUUUGAUAGUACCUUACUACUUGGAUAACCGUGGUAAUUCUAGAGCUAAUACAUGCUGAAAACCCCGACUUCGGAAGGGAUGUAUUUAUUAGAUUAAAAGCCAAUGCCCUUCGGGGCUCCCUGGUGAUUCAUAAUAACUGCUCGAAUCGCACGGCCUUGCGCCGGCGAUGGUUCAUUCAAAUUUCUGCCCUAUCAACUUUCGACGGCUGGGUCUUGGCCAGCCGUGGUGACAACGGGUAACGGAGGGUUAGGGCUCGACCCCGGAGAAGGAGCCUGAGAAACGGCUACUACAUCCAAGGAAGGCAGCAGGCGCGCAAAUUACCCAAUCCCGACUCGGGGAGGUAGUGACAAUAAAUACUGAUACAGGGCUCUUUUGGGUCUUGUAAUUGGAAUGAGUACAAUUUAAUUCCCUUAACGAGGAACAAUUGGAGGGCAAGUCUGGUGCCAGCAGCCGCGGUAAUUCCAGCUCCAAUAGCGUAUAUUAAAGUUGUUGCAGUUAAAAAGCUCGUAGUUGAACCUUGGGCCUGGCUGGCCGGUCCGCCUCACCGCGUGCACUGGUCCGGCCGGGCCUUUCCCUCUGGGGAGCCGCAUGCCCUUCACUGGGCGUGUCGGGGAACCAGGACUUUUACUUUGAAAAAAUUAGAGUGUUCAAAGCAGGCUUAUGCUCGAAUACAUUAGCAUGGAAUAAUAGAAUAGGACGCGUGGUUCUAUUUUGUUGGUUUCUAGGACCGCCGUAAUGAUUAAUAGGGACAGUCGGGGGCAUCAGUAUUCAGCUGCGAGAGGUGAAAUUCUUGGACCAGCUGAAGACUAACUACUGCGAAAGCAUUUGCCAAGGAUGUUUUCAUUAAUCAGGAACGAAAGUUAGGGGAUCGAAGACGAUCAGAUACCGUCGUAGUCUUAACCAUAAACUAUGCCGACUAGGGAUCGGGCGGUGUUAUCUUUUGACCCGCUCGGCACCUUGCACGAAAGUACAAGUU